CCGGAGCUUGCGUCCACCGGAAAAAGAGGAGUGGCGAACGGGUGAGUAACACGUGGGUAACCUGCCCAUCAGAAGGGGAUAACACUUGGAAACAGGUGCUAAUACCGUAUAACAAUCGAAACCGCAUGGUUUUGAUUUGAAAGGCGCUUUCGGGUGUCGCUGAUGGAUGGACCCGCGGUGCAUUAGCUAGUUGGUGAGGUAACGGCUCACCAAGGCCACGAUGCAUAGCCGACCUGAGAGGGUGAUCGGCCACAUUGGGACUGAGACACGGNCCAAACUCCUACGGGAGGCAGCAGUAGGGAAUCUUCGGCAAUGGACGAAAGUCUGACCGAGCAACGCCGCGUGAGUGAAGAAGGUUUUCGGAUCGUAAAACUCUGUUGUUAGAGAAGAACAAGGAUGAGAGUAACUGUUCAUCCCUUGACGGUAUCUAACCAGAAAGCCGACGGCUAACAUACGUGCCAGCAGCCGCGGUAAUACGUAGGUGGCAAGCGUUGUCCGGAUUUAUGUGGGCGUAAAGCGAGCGCANGCGGUUUCUUAAGUCUGAUGUGAAA
rnacentral:rRNA from 1 species